rnacentral:rRNA from 1 species
AGGGGCAGCAUAGUGUAGCAAUACAUGGGUGGCGACCGGCAAACGGGUGCGGAACACGUACAGAACCUUCCUUCGAGCGGGGAAUAGCCCAGAGAAAUUUGGAUUAAUACCCCAUAGGAUAGUGGAGUGGCAUCACUCAGCUAUUAAAGAUUUAUCACUUGAAGAUGGCUGUGCGUCUGAUUAGGUAGUUGGCGGGGUAACGGCCCACCAAGCCAGCGAUCAGUAACUGGUGUGAGAGCACGACCAGUCACACGGGCACUGAGACACGGGCCCGACUCCUACGGGAGGCAGCAGUAAGGAAUAUUGGUCAAUGGACGCAAGUCUGAACCAGCCAUGCCGCGUGGAGGAUGAAGGUCCUCUGGAUUGUAAACUUCUUUUAUCUGGGACGAAAAAGGGCCUUUCUAGGUCAACUGACGGUACCAGAUGAAUAAGCACCGGCUAACUCCGUGCCAGCAGCCGCGGUAAUACGGAGGGUGCAAGCGUUAUCCGGAUUCACUGGGUUUAAAGGGUGCGUAGGCGGGCAUGUAAGUCCGUGGUGAAAUCUCCGAGCUUAACUCGGAAACUGCCAUGGAUACUAUGUGUCUUGAAUGUUGUGGAGGUGAGCGGAAUAUGUCAUGUAGCGGUGAAAUGCUUAGAUAUGACAUAGAACACCAAUUGCGAAGGCAGCUCACUACACAAAUAUUGACGCUGAGGCACGAAAGCGUGGGGAUCAAACAGGAUUAGAUACCCUGGUAGUCCACGCCCUAAACGAUGAUUACUCGACAUACGUGAUACACAAUGUGUGUCUGAGC